rnacentral:rRNA from 1 species
UACGAAGGGGGCUAGCGUUGCUCGGAAUCACUGGGCGUAAAGCGUGCGCAGGCGGUUAUGUAAGACAGAUGUGAAAUGCCCGGGCUUAACCUGGGAACUGCAUUUGUGACUGCAUGGCUAGAGUUUGGCAGAGGGGGGUAGAAUUCCACGUGUAGCAGUGAAAUGCGUAGAUAUUGGGAAGAACACCAGUGGCGAAGGCGGCUCACUGGCCCGUAACUGACGCUGAGGUGCGAAAGCGUGGGGAGCAAACAGG